UACAGAGGGGGCAAGCGUUAUUCGGAAUUAUUGGGCGUAAAGGGCGCGUAGGCGGCCUUUCAAGUGACGGGUGAAAUCCCUCGGCUUAACCGAGGAACUGCCUGUCAGACUGGGAGGCUUGAGACCGGGAGAGGUGAGUGGAAUUCCCAGUGUAGCGGUGAAAUGCGUAGAUAUUGGGAGGAACACCAGUGGCGAAGGCGGCUCACUGGACCGGAACUGACGCUGAGGCCCGAAAGCGUGGGGAGCAA
rnacentral:rRNA from 1 species